rnacentral:rRNA from 1 species
UGCCAGCAGCCGCGGUAAUAUGGAGGGGGCUAGCGUUGUUCAGAAUUACUGGGCGUAAAGCGCGCGUAGGCGGUUUGAUAAGUUAGGCGUGAAAGCCCGGAGCUCAACUUCGGAAUAGCGCUUAAAACUAUCAGGCUAGAGACCGAGAGAGGUGAGUGGAACUCCAAGUGUAGAGGUGAAAUUCGUAGAUAUUGGGAAGAACACCAGUGGCGAAGGCGGCUCACUGGAUCGGUACUGACGCUGAGGUGCGAAGGCGUGGGGAGCAAACGGGAUUAGAUA